rnacentral:rRNA from 1 species
CCUACGGGAGACAGCAGUGAGGAAUAUUGGUCAAUGGACGAGAGUCUGAACCAGCCAAGUAGCGUGAAGGAUGACUGCCCUAUGGGUUGUAAACUUCUUUUAUAUGGGAAUAAAAUGUUCCACGUGUGGGAUUUUGUAUGUACCAUAUGAAUAAGGAUCGGCUAACUCCGUGCCAGCAGCCGCGGUAAUACGGAGGAUCCGAGCGUUAUCCGGAUUUAUUGGGUUUAAGGGGAGCGUAGGUGGAUUGUUAAGUCAGUUGUGAAAGUUUGCGGCUCAACCGUAAAAUUGCAGUUGAAACUGGCAGUCUUGAGUACAGUAGAGGCGGGCGGAAUUCGUGGUGUAGCGGUGAAAUGCUUAGAUAUCACGAAGAACUCCGAUUGCGAAGGCAGUUCACUGGACUGCAACUGACACUGAGGCUCGAAAGUGUGGGUAUCAAACAGGAUUAGAUACCCGUGUAGUC